rnacentral:rRNA from 1 species
GACAGAGGGUGCAAACGUUGUUCGGAAUUACUGGGCUUAAAGCGCGUGUAGGCGGCUGCGCAAGUCGGAUGUGAAAUCCCAUGGCUCAACCAUGGAAGUGCACUCGAAACUGCGUAGCUAGAGUCUCGGAGAGGAAGAUGGAAUGCUUGGUGUAGAGGUGAAAUUCGUAGAUAUCAAGCGGAACACCGGUGGCGAAGGCGGUCUUCUGGACGAUGACUGACGCUGAGACGCGAAAGCGUGGGGAGCAAACAGG